ensembl:lncRNA
CUCCCAAGGAGGAAGGAUCUCUAUCUGGAGAUCACUUCUCUUGGAGCCCUUCUGCGAGCAUAGGAUAUGGAUGUAAAGAAAAUGAAGAAAAAUCAAGAAAAAAGAAAGAAUAGCAACAAUUUUGGACUUUUCAGUGAAACUACACAUCUUCCUGAAAAUUCUACUCACCUUCAACACAGACUUCCAUUUCAGAAACCAUUCUGAGGUUUGGAUCUUCUUGACAUAAUUUCAGCAGAUCUUCCUGUGUGCAUCUUCAGGCUUUGGACAAGCAUGGGUCUUUUCUUGCUUUGAGAACCUCAUCCUCCUUACAGAAGUGCUGACCGAGUGCAGUUCGGUGUACUCUUUACAGCAGGAGGCACUGUGACAGUUUAGGACAUUGCUCCUUAAUGUAAUUUGAAAUGAAAGAGAUCACUCUCUCCUUGUGUGUGUUCUUGUCUAUCUUAUGUCUCUGGUGUUUUUCUUUACAGACAAAAGCCAGGAAAGAAAUAAACUGACUGUUACUAUAUCCUGUUAAAGAAAACUUACAGGCAACAGCUGAAUGAGUAUCUUCGUGUCAGCAG